rnacentral:rRNA from 1 species
UACGUAGGGUGCGAGCGUUAAUCGGAAUUACUGGGCGUAAAGCGUGCGCAGGCGGUUCGUUGUGUCGGUGGUGAAAGCCCCGGGCUUAACCUGGGAAUGGCCAUGGAAACUGGCGAACUGGAGUGUGGCAGAGGGGGGUGGAAUUCCGCGUGUAGCAGUGAAAUGCGUAGAGAUGCGGAGGAACCCCAGAGGCGAAGGCGGCGUCCUGGCUCGCAUCUGACGCUCAGACACGACAGCAUGGGGAGCGAACGGG